UCCACACAGACAAUAAAACUAUACUUUAGUUAAUUGAUUUUUCAUUAUUUGUCCAGGUUUUUGGUUAAUUGGUCAGUUGGUUAAAAUUAAGAAAAAACAAAGUUAUAUCUUUUACAUAGAGAAAGGCACUUGUCAUUAGCUAUUUUAUCAAAUUACACAUGUUACACUGUACUUGUCUACAUUCUUUUAAACAAGAGGAAUAACUUAUGGUUUAAUAAAAAUCACCAAUAUUAG
rnacentral:lncRNA from 1 species